AUAAUGGAGAGUUUGAUUCUGGCUCAGAACGAACGCUGGCGGCGCGUCUUAAACAUGCAAGUCGAACGAUCUGUAGCAAUACAGGGAGUGGCGGACGGGUGAGGAACACGUAGGAAUCUACCUCAGAGAGCGGGACAAC
rnacentral:rRNA from 1 species